UNGCAAGCAUUCGAAUCCUAACUGCUUUG
rnacentral:piRNA from 1 species